rnacentral:rRNA from 1 species
AUUGAACGCUGGCGGCAGGCCUAACACAUGCAAGUCGAACGAGUGGCGCACGGGUGAGUAAUGUCUGGGAAACUGCCUGAUGGAGGGGGAUAACCACGGGAAACGGUAGCUAAUACCGUAUACCAUCAGAUGCGCCCAGAUGGGUUUAGCUUGUUUGUGGGGUAAAGGCUCACCAAGGCCACGAUCCCUAGCUGGUCUGAGAGGAUGACCAGCCACACUGGAACUGAGACACGGUCCAGACUCCUACGGGAGGAAGCAGUGGGGAAUAUUGCACAAUGGGCGCAAGACUGAUGCAGCCAUGCCGCGUGUAUGAAGAAGGCCUUCGGGUUGUAAAGUACCUUCAGCGGGGAGGCGUUACCCGCAGAAGAAGCACCGGCUAACUCCGUGCCAGCCGCCGCGGUAAUAC